CCAAAGAGAGUCCCAGUUGCUUAGAAGGGAACUAGAAGAUUCAGGAGCUAUGAGCUUAAGCCCAGAUGUACCUCAGGUACGGCUCUUGAAUAUUCAAGUCUAUAUUCACGGAUCCUGGCCGGAUA
rnacentral:lncRNA from 1 species